GACGAACGCUGGCGGCGUGCCUAAUACAUGCAAGUAGAACGCUGAAGGAGGAGCUUGCUUCUCUGGAUGAGUUGCGAACGGGUGAGUAACGCGUAGGUAACCUGCCUGGUAGCGGGGGAUAACUAUUGGAAACGAUAGCUAAUACCGCAUAAUAGCAGUUGUUGCAUGACAACUGUUUGAAAGGUGCAAUUGCACCACUACCAGAUGGACCUGCGUUGUAUUAGCUAGUUGGUGGGGUAACGGCUCACCAAGGCGACGAUACAUAGCCGACCCGAGAGGGUGAUCGGCCACACUGGGACUGAGACACGGCCCAGACUCCUACGGGAGGCAGCAGUAGGGAAUCUUCGGCAAUAGACGGAAGUCUGACCGAGCAACGCCGCGUGAGUGAAGAAGGUUUUCGGAUCGUAAAGCUCUGUUGUAAGAGAAGAACGAGUGUGAGAGUGGAAAGUUCACACUGUGACGGUAUCUUACCAGAAAGGGACGGCUAACUACGUG
rnacentral:rRNA from 1 species